rnacentral:rRNA from 1 species
UUUCGAAUCGUUCACAAUGGGGGCAACCCUGAUGGCGCGACGCCGCGUGGGGGAUGAAGGUCUUCGGAUUGUAAACUCCUGUCAUUGGGGACUAAUGGCCAGGCUCAUACCCUGGUUUGAAUUAACCCAAAGAGGAAGCAGUGGCUAACUCUGUGCCAGCAGCCGCGGUAAUACAGAGACUGCAAGCGUUACUCGGAUUCACUGGGCGUAAAGGGAGCGCAGGCGGACUCAUGUGUCGGACGUGAAAUACCGGGGCUUAACCCCGGUGCUGCGUUCGAAACUAUGAGUCUAGAGACUUGGAGGGGUAAGCGGAAUUCUUGGUGGAGCAGUGAAAUGCGUAGAUAUCAAGAGGAACACCAACGGCGAAGGCAGCUUACUGGACAAG